UUUUUUACCCAAAAAUAAAGCCACAUAUCCAGCCUAUAUAUCCUGCAAUAUAGGAUUCCUGCUAAACCUUUAUUUGUAGGUUAAAACACUAAUACAGUGGUGGAGUAAUAAUAGACUAGAGUAAAUAUGGUAUUCUUGGUCACUGUUGAAUAUAACAUUUUAGGAACUUCCAUAAAAUUAAAUAUUUAUGAAACUGCCAAAAUUUGUUUUUGCACAUGCAGGUAUUCUUCUUGGAAAGACAGACAUCACAAAUAUUUGCCGUUUCACAGUAUCACCUGAUUUUUUUAUCAAAACUUCAUAAAAUGGUGAAAAAUGUUAUUUUAUCUAGCAUUUAUACAUGUCAUCUUUAAAUAUAUAGGGCACAGAACAAUAUCACAUUAAUGUGCUAAGAUUAUUUUUGAGUUCUUCAUAUAUGUUUUUUUAGUAUUUUUCUUUCUUUUUUAGGUCAGCCAUAAUCUAACACAGCCAUCACAUCAAUCACUAAAACUAAUGUAUAUUUAUAUAAUUUAUUUAGUCUAAUUUUGCUUAAUAAUAUUUACUUCACAUUAUUUUUCUGGGAAACUAGACGUCUAUGGUUUACUUCGUCAAUUUUACAGAAUUUGUAUCACGAAAUUUUUAGAACUUUUUAGGUAGAUCCCAGUUUUUAUACCUUUUUAGAACUAUGUGUAAAUCUGUAUAUUUUUGUUAUUUAUUCAGAUGUAACUAAAUUGAAGUAUAUAUAAUUUGCGCUAUUUGUCGCCCAUAUUUAAUACUUUUCAGACCAGGCUUCUGUAACCCCUUUUUUAUAUAAGAACAAUGUUAUAAGAAUAUAAACCUAAGACUCAAAACCCCAGACUCAAAUCAUUGUUUUUACGACUAAAACUACUCAAGAAAUGGAAUAGUCAAAAAGCCUCAAAAGCGGUUAAGUCACAUAGUUUUGCGCAAUUAUUCAAUCAUUUAUCCUGUUUUUAAAUUGGAAAUCUCAGCCUUGGGUCGACCAUUGAACGUUUUGCUCUGUGGAAAGUUUUCAGUUUACGACACCUAAUUUAUUUCUUUUUUUCUCAUAGAAUCCCAGUUUUCAAUUAUCAAUCUUAAUGGCUUGUAGACAGGUUAGGCUUAGAUCAGUAAUGAAAUGCUCUACAUGCUGUAAUUAUAUAUAUGACUGAUUUUAAUUUUUUCUGAUACGACUACCCGGUUUUAUAAAAUUGUAAAAUGUGAAUACCGUUUGAUUGGCGGAAGUGUUAUUGUACAACGUAUUUUAUCAAUAUCGAUAAAAGGAAAAUAUUUUUUUGAUUUAUUGAAAAAAAAAUAGAUUUUUAGGAAGUUAUCAGAACCGUGAAAAUCUUAAUUCGAAAAUAAUCCCAACAACACAAAUCACUCUCAAAUUCAUGUUAUUGCUAUUACUAGUAUUUUUAUUCUGAUUGAUAUAUCGCCUGUAAGAUCGCAAAUUAGGGGAUAUUUUAUUGAGAAAGAUUUUUACUGCUUUCCUUUAUGCGGCCUAUAGCCUUCUCUUGAGACACUGAUUAUUGAGAAACAUUUUACAUAAUUUUAAACUACUGCUGUUUUUGGUAAAACCAGAGUGAAAUCUCCACGGUAUAUACGUUUUUUAAUCAGAACCCAGUUUAUAGGAAUGUUGAAUCUGACAUUUUGCCAAGAAUUUUUUUUAAAGAUUAUAAGAACAAAAUCAAGCGAAUCUACAUUUACUGCUAAGAAACAAUUUUCUUUUUACAGUAGGUGCCGCUUAACUCGAAUAUGGGCUAUUUAAACUUUUUUUGAUUUCCUAAGGGUUUUGCUUAUCAAACUCUUUAUAAUUACGCCGGAUAACUCGAAUACAGUUUAACUCAAUCUAUAUUCUUUGUCUCUUAAUAACUCGAUAACUACAAAAAAUAAUGUAAAAAUAAAGCAAAAAGCACAAUUUACUGCUUUUAAAACAACUAAAAAACACAUUGUUCGUUCUUCUUUAAGAUUGUCUUGUGCACUCUAUCUCCAAAGAAAUAAAAUUUAAUAAGAUUAAACUUUUUGGGCAUAGUGUUAAUAUGAGUAUUUUAAUAUUGUAGGGUCGCAGAAAGAGAGCCAAAAUCGAUCAUAAUGAAGUGGCAGUGGCUCAUGUAACGAAAGGUGUAGAUCAGGACGGGCUGAGAAAAUAUUACAUAAAUAAAGAAAUAGGUAUGCUGAGUAUUACAAAAAACCACACAUUCUUAAAUGCCAAAAACAAUUAUCUUAUGUGCACAAAUUAUUUGAGGAAUAAAUUUUUGCGAACCAUAUUUUUGCGGAUGAGUAGUCCCCAAAUACUUCAUUUUGCGGAGUAUAUUUUUGCGGAAUUAAUUUUUGCGGAAUUAAUUUUUGUGAAGUACGAAGAAAUUAAAAGAAAAAUGGUGUAGAAGUUUUUGCGGAUGGAAGUUUACCAACGAAAGAAAAUUAGUCACUACGCAUUUCUUGUAUUAAUAAUAUAACCUUUAUUUUUGGGAGAUAGAAUUUUCAAGGAAUUAGUAGAAGAGGUAUUUUAAAGUUAGCAGAAGCAAAAUACAAUGGAAUACAAUAUCUCGGCGGACGAAAAAUUCAGGGAAGAAAAAUUAUCCAGCAAUUUUAAGAAAUUUUGCAAAAUAAUCUCCCCAUUAAUUUUCCCCUUUUUAGAACACGUGACCUCUUUGUCCUUAAUUGCAAAGUGAAAUAAACCUAAAUGGGGCAACAGCAAAAGUACAAUAAAAUUUCAUAGUUUGGGUGGUUUUUAAAGUUUUCGGGGCAUUUAAUUUCGUGGAUGAUCAACACGUGUUUUCGCUGUGCUUAAUUUGACAAGUUCAAUAAAAAUUACGUAAUUUGAAAAAUAUAAUUCUAAGUCAAUUCAAAUGCUUAAUAACAUAUCCUUUACCUCAUGAACACUGCAGUUUGCGCACAGUUGUAACUGUUUAUACAAAUUUUGUCCUUAAUAGAAUGAUUAUGAGAUACUAUUGAAACGACGCCCUUUAUAAGUACAAAUUAAUCCGUAACUCCUUUAGAGUGCAAUUUAUGAAAUUGAGCUGCUUAUGAAGCGUUAAAGCAGUAAAGAGUUAAUAUGUUUUCAAUCGUGAAAAUUUACUUUUUUAUUGUUAAGACAUAUUGUCUAUGGUUACUUGAUUUAUUUUUUUAGCUAUUGUGCUGCUUGCAAAUCAUAGACGAUCACUAGACGAUUUUUAUGACGAUCGUCAUAAAUACUGGAAUUUGAUUGGUUUGGUCGCGAUUGUCGUCAUGACAAAAAGUUGAAUUGGUUUCUACUUUUUGUCGCAAAAAUCGUCGCAAAUAUCACCCAGUGGAGACAUAUCUUUUGAAUCAUUCUAUUAGCAGUUCAGUGUUUAAUCAUUACCUCUUAAUUGCCGGAAAAUGCCUUAAAUUUAGAUAAAAUUGGUGUGUUUUAAAGAGAUUAUGAAAUAAUAUAGUUAUUUUUUAUGUUCCUUUUUAAAAAAACGUGUUUUAAAAAAAUGCCCCUGCGACACUGGAUUUAACGUGGCACAGAGGACAUUUAUUACCCUGUUUUCUUUUAUUUCGUUCGCUUUUAUAAACUACUAACUAAAAAUUAAUCGCGAAUUGCACUCUGUUUAGUAAAUGUAGUUUUGCUUUACUACCAGGCAGCAAGUUCGCAAUGUACAAAGUAGCUAAUUAAGUUAAAAUAAUUUUUUAGGUUUUGGGGUUUUCGCAGAAAAGAAUUUUACGAAGGGGGAGUUCUUAUUGGAGUAUCCUGGGGAACUUAUUAGCGCCGAGGAAGAAGAAAAAAAGCAGCAACGCUAUAACGCUAAAUUUGGUUCAUUCUUGUUUUUUUUCAACAAAUGUUGAAUAAAAACACCAAGAUGCCUAUUACGAUUGCACCAAAAGUCUCUACGGUAAGUUAAAAUGCUUUAGUCUUGUCCUGUAUGUUUUUUACCCUGUAAAAAAAGUCAUGACAAUACGCCCAUGGUACAUGUAGUAAGUAAGUGCGUUAUUUAGCGCGACCCUGGCCACACAAUGUAAUAUAUACUUCCUCCAAUGAAUAAAGUUUUCUAAAAGUGUUUCUUUCACAAUUAUCAUUAAUGUCCGAAACUAUAAAAAUUUUACUUUCUUUUUACUUCAAAGAAGUGCUUCUUGUGUACACUUACAUCUGCAACAGUCAAGGGAAGAUAUUUUUUUAAACAAACAAAACAAGUUUAUAAAGAAAAUUAAAAUAUUGCGUACUUCUUUUUCUAAUUUUUCUAUUGUUGUACGUUCUCUAUUGUUGUUUGUUGUGUAAUAAAAGGGUUGGUGUGAUGAUUUUCACAGUAGUAAAAUAUUGUGUGAGGUCUGGGAAGUGUAGAAACAAAAACAUGGCUGUCAAAUGACAAGACUAUAAAUGUGCCAUUAUUAGACUCCAUCGCAUAUGCUUGUUUUGACGUUCAAAGUACCUGAAACGCAAAAUGUCUUAAAGCAAACAAAAAUUUAAAACAGGCUGUAUAGUUUUAUAGUUUCAUACUCCUACCGGUCUGACAGAAACUUGUUCCCUUUCUUGGCCAAAGUUUCACAGUUUUCGCAGCCAAUUUACAAACAUCUUGAAAGGUGUUAUGUCUACAUCGGCAACUUUUAAAACUAUAUUGUACAAUAUUAUUAUUAUUAUCAUUGUCACACACUAUAAUGAGAUUGAUUACUUUAUAAGUAAAAAAUAGGGAGGGUUGAGUCGGGAGCGUGGUCCAGAGAAACGAAGGGAAAAUAAAAAACAAGUCUUUUACGAAAAGUCCUUUUAUGUAAAGGACUUUUCGUAGGACUUUUAUGGCAGAAAUUCUUUUUGGGCUGACUUCUUAUAAUUCGAAUUUAAUUUAUUUGGAACAUUCCGUUAUCGAAUUCACGAAGUUGUAAAAUCUACUUUACUGAGCGCUUAAAAAUUUGAUUUAAAUUUUAAAGAGGGCGUUUAAAGGCAGAUUUUCUUUGCGCCUCGGUUCGACUUUGAGUAUGCACCGUCUUGUUAAUGUAACCCUCUUGAUUUCAAUAGCUGUGUGUUGGCCCUGAAUUCAAAUGAAUAAAGAGUCUAAUGUAUAGUGGUUGAGCCAAGAACUUCUAACCUGUAUAAACGUUUAUUUUGUAGAAGAUAAAUUAUGAGGUUCGUCACUUUUAAUGAAAACUGUACUUGCACCCGUUUUAUCAUUUUCAAUGUCGUUAAAGUAGCUCAUUGGAAAAUCAGCACCAAAAGACUUUCUAGGUUGGUUCUUAUAAUCAUGAUUUAUGCUCAUCGUUUUAGCAGGUUAUUUAUAUAUAUAUGUUUGCUUUGUGAACUUAAAAAUUUCUCUAUCAAGUUUUUAGAAAUUCAAGUAUCACAUUCUCCCAGUGACUAAAAAGCUUCAGGAAAUGUCUAAUAAUUUUAGGCUUUGUUUUCUGAUAUAAAUUUUAUAGUGUUGACCGGUAGUUAUUUUGAAAGUUUAGAUAGUUUAAGUUUAUUAAACGCACAGAACAUUUGCAUCUCACUAGUUAUAUUAAAAGGACGUUUGUUCCCAAAAAGUUAAAUUAAAUAGUUGUUCGAGAGGGAACUAAAACGGGUGUUUUACUAAAUAUAUUAUUACCAGAUCAAACUGUACUGUAUUAAGUUAUUUUUUAUUUUUAAAAACAUAGUUGUAAAUGAAAAAAUUCUUUUAAGAUUAAAUACCAAAUGAAAACUGUAAA